AACGCCGCGUGGAGGAUGAAGGCCUUUGGGUUGUAAACUCCUGUCAGUGGGGAAGAAAACCUAUGGGUUAAUACCCUGUAGGCUUGACGGUACCCGCAGAGGAAGCCCCGGCUAACUCUGUGCCAGCAACGUCGGUGACUGAGCGGGCUGGCAAGGCGCAUA
rnacentral:rRNA from 1 species